rnacentral:rRNA from 1 species
AUUGAACGCUGGCGGAAUGCUUUACACAUGCAAGUCGAACGGCAGCACGGGGGCAACCCUGGUGGCGAGUGGCGAACGGGUGAGUAAUACAUCGGAACGUGCCCGGUCGUGGGGGAUAACGUAGCGAAAGUUACGCUAAUACCGCAUACGAUCUGAGGAUGAAAGCGGGGGACCUUCGGGCCUCGCGCGAUCGGAGCGGCCGAUGUCAGAUUAGGUAGUUGGUGGGGUAAAGGCCUACCAAGCCGACGAUCUGUAGCUGGUCUGAGAGGACGACCAGCCACACUGGAACUGAGACACGGCCCAGACUCCUACGGGAGGCAGCAGUGGGGAAUUUUGGACAAUGGGCGAAAGCCUGAUCCAGCCAUUCCGCGUGAAGGACGAAGGCCUUCGGGUUGUAAACUGCUUUUGUAUGGAACGAAAAGGCUCUGGCUAAUACCUGGGGCUCAUGACGGUACCGGAAGAAUAAGCACCGGCUAACUACGUG